rnacentral:rRNA from 1 species
AUUGAACGCUGGCGGCAUGCCUAACACAUGCAAGUCGAGCGAGCGGCGGACGGGUGAGUAAUGUAUGGGGACCUGCCCGAUGGAGGGGGAUAACUCCUGGAAACGGUGGCUAAUACCGCAUACCAUCCGAUUAACCCAUAUGGGAUUAGCUAGUAGGUGGGGUAAAGGCUCACCUAGGCGACGAUCCCUAGCUGGUCUGAGAGGAUGAUCAGCCACACUGGAACUGAGACACGGUCCAGACUCCUACGGGAGGCAGCAGUGGGGAAUAUUGCACAAUGGGCGCAAGCCUGAUGCAGCCAUGCCGCGUGUAUGAAGAAGGCCUUAGGGUUGUAAAGUACUUUUAGCAGGGAGGCGUUACCCGCAGAAGAAGCACCGGCUAACUCCGUGCCAGCAGCCGCGGUAAUAC